UUGCUGAACCGACCUCUCAUCUUUGUUGGGACGGUUAUACAACAGCCGCAUCUUUCCCCCUUAAAAUUUCGCUACUCGCAUUUGCCAAUAUUUUGUUUUCCAUUUCCCUCUUUGUAUUUCAAACUACUAGUACUUUCCAAACCCUAUUUUCAUCAUAAUUUCAAAUUCACGUUCCUCCAACUCAUAUCUCAGAAUUCUAUUGUCUCAUAAAACUACAUAUCUAUACUCUAUCUUUUCAAAGAACCAUGAAGAUUAGGUCAUAAUCAGUUUCAACAAAGAUUAGGUCACAUCCUCAUUCAUUCAUUCAUCUUCGACGAAUACUAGCUCCUUAUGAUGAUAUCCAACUUAAGAAAGGGAAGAACACAAGAGCUUUCUAUUUCUCUACACUUAAGAUGAGGAUGCGGCAGGGUUUUGGCUACUAAACAACUGGGUUAUUUUAUUGGAGAGAGAAAACAUGAAAAGUAUAAAAACCCUAGAGAUUCCUCUGAUAUUCGGGUUGAGGAUCUUAUUAGCAAGAUGAGUUUUGUGGAGAAAAUUGGUCAAAUGUUAUUGGUAAAAAUAAUGACUUUUUUGUUUACUUCAUUUUCUAAGGUAUUAUAUUGAUUCAAUUAGCUACUAAUGGAAAAUACUUGUCUUUUGGUUAGGAAGUGUUGUCAGUGAGGGAUGAAGUAUUCCAAUUCCAUAUAUUUUUGCGGAAAACUAGAGUUAUAUGUUAAAUGAAUAUUAGAAGCAUACGUUAUCAACCAGGCUUGGAAUUCCAAGUUUUUAUGUGAUUGAUUCUAGUCAUGUCCAUAACUCUAUUUACAAAGAAACUGAUUUUCCUCACAAUAUUGGCCAUGGAGAUACCAUGUAAAUGUAUGAAUGUUUCUUUGUUGGUACUGUUUGUUUGGAGAAAAUGCGAUUCAUGUUGUGAUGAUAUGGUUAUUAUUUUGUGUCUUGUUGGUGAAUGUUUGUUUGUGUUAGAUUAACAAUAGCUUCUACCAAAUCAUACUUUUAUCAUUGAAGAUGGAAAACAAGCUUUGAGGAACACAAAUUCCCUUGCAUUGUUUUCCCACAUUGAGGUGAAUCUGCAGCCUGAUGAGAAGAAUGAAAGAAGCAUAAUUUUUGAAAUUAAGUCAAAAGAGUUGGAGCAGAAAUUAGUUGAAGUUAGUACCGAGUGUAGUAUUGUUUCUGGGCGAGGAGGGUGUCCGAAUUUGGUAUUUACGGUGAGCUGAAAGUAUAUUUUUGUUUGUUGAACAUUGAUCUUUGUUUGCCCAAAUUAUGUGUUUGUUUUCUGUUAAAUGCUUGUAUAGGCUUCACUGCAACUAGGAGGGACUAUUACUUUUGAACAUCAGAAUCUGCGAAGAAUAAAUAGGUCACUUACUGCUUCAAUGACAACUAGUAGCUUCUUGAAUCCUCAUGUACCCUUAUACUAGUUCAUCGAGUUCUUUUCUCCAUUUUAUAGUAAGAUUUCUUUAGCUUAUCAUUUGUAUGGUGUAGAUAAUCCACGACACCGAAUGCUCCGUGUAAGUUGCUUCAAUAGUUGAAAACAUAGUCCACUAUUCAAUGGAGGGCCAAGGGUGGAUGAAGUGGCUUCAAUAUGGGUUAACCAUGCUGGUGUAAAAGCUAAUAUCCCUGAGAUAAGUUUACUGGUUAUCUUACACUAGUAUUCUUGAUUUGGCUUUUUAAUUAGUUUAUAACUUACUUUUUAAAUUACAAUUCUUGUUUUCGCAAAGCAGAAUUUUUCUUGACAGGGUAAAUUCACUUAUGGAUUGUUAAUGGAAGAGAUAAUAACACGUGAUGAAAGCAAUCAUAUAUGUUCCAAUGGUCAAAGAAUAUUACCUAAUAAAGGAAUCAGUGAAGAUGGACCUCCAUGGAAUUACUUAUUGAAGGCAUGUUUUAAUCACAUUUUUUAUAAUAGUAUUUGAUUGUGAUAAAUGGAGAUUGAUGUGAAAUUAUGCUUAAUAUUCAUAUGAUGAAUGGAGAUGGAUGUGCAAUUAUGCUUAAUAUUCAUAGGAGCUGAAUUAAUUGUGGUUAGAAUAUGUGUGCUGAUAAAUUUCUUUUUCAGCUUUGCUCUACUUCUUAGAAGUUUCUUGAUGUCAAACUAUUGAAAUUAUAA